UUUUGAAGAGAAGAUUCUCUGCUUAUCUUCACACAUGUAGAUAUUUAGGGGUCUCUGAAAGUGCUGAAGACCAGAGCCCACUGGAAGCUGGUAGAUGACUUGGUGGUGAGAUACCAUUGAAUUGAAGCCAUGUAGGUGGAAAGAAUCUACAUUUCUUUCAACAGCUGGAGGAUGCAAAAGUCCCCGGAAGCAGUGUGGCCCUGAGUCUUCUGGAAUCUGGUAGAAUUGACAGGGGAUGAAUGCCACGUAACGGGAAAACAAUACACCAUGUGUUUACUACCCCAAGAUGUAAGGAAAUCCCUGGGAGAUCGUGGCCAAGAGUCUUGAGAAUCUUGGACAUGUCUCACAGAGGUGGAGAUGCCAUCGAAUGGAAGCCAUUCAGGUGGAAGGAGUGUAUGUUCGUUUUAACAUCCGGAUGUGCAUUAAAUUUUCUGGAAGCAGUGUGGCCCUG
rnacentral:lncRNA from 1 species